rnacentral:rRNA from 1 species
UACGUAGGGUGCAAGCGUUAUUCGGAAUUACUGGGCGUAAAGCGUGCGCAGGCGGUUUUGCAAGUUUGUCGUGAAAGCCCCGGGCUCAACCUGGGAAUUGCGAUGAAGACUGCAAGGCUUGAAUCUGGCAGAGGGGGGUAGAAUUCCACGUGUAGCAGUGAAAUGCGUAGAGAUGUGGAGGAACACCGAUGGCGAAGGCAGCCCCCUGGGUCAAGAUUGACGCUCAUGCACGAAAGCGUGGGGAGCAAACAGG